GACGAACGCUGGCGGCGUGCCUAAUACAUGCAAGUCGAGCGCAGGAAGUCAUCCGAACCCUUCGGGGGGACGUUGACGGACUGAGCGGCGGACGGGUGAGUAACACGUAAAGAACCUGCCCUCAGGUCUGGGAUAACCACGAGAAAUCGGGGCUAAUACCGGAUGGGUCAUCGGACCGCAUGGUCCGAGGAUGAAAGGCGCUCCGGCGUCGCCUGGGGAUGGCUUUGCGGUGCAUUAGCUAGUUGGUGGGGUAAUGGCCCACCAAGGCGACGAUGCAUAGCCGACCUGAGAGGGUGAUCGGCCACACUGGGACUGAGACACGGCCCAGACUCCUACGGGAGGCAGCAGUAGGGAAUCUUCCACAAUGGACGAAAGUCUGAUGGAGCAACGCCGCGUGAACGAUGAAGGCCCUCGGGUCGUAAAGUUCUGUUGUAAGGGAAGAACAAGUGCCGCAGGCAAUGGCGGCACCUUGACGGUACCUUGCGAGAAAGCCACGGCUAACUACGUG
rnacentral:rRNA from 1 species